CUAAUUUUUACAGAUGGCUAAAAUUCACAGAAGGUUGUUUUCCCAGGGUGAGGCUCAUCCAUGGAACUCUAGGUUUGCUGACCCCUGUGAGUUCCCCAAAUGUAGGAAUCUCCACUGUGUAAUCUGUGUGGUAGUAGAGGACUGCUUUCAUGUUCUCCUCUU
ensembl:snRNA U1 U1 spliceosomal RNA